UACGUAGGGUGCAGGCGUUAAUCGGAAUUACUGGGCGUAAAGCGUGCGCAGGCGGUUUGCUAAGACAGGUGUGAAAUCCCCGGACUUAACCUGGGAACUGCGCUUGUUACUGGCAAGCUGGAGUGUGGCAGAGGGGGGUGGAAUUCCACGUGUAGCAGUGAAAUGCGUAGAGAUGUGGAGGAACACCGAUGGCGAAGGCAGCCCCCUGGGCUAACACUGACGCUCAUGCACGAAAGCGUGGGGAGCAAACAGG
rnacentral:rRNA from 1 species